CUUCGUCCCUGGAUGUAUUCUGUUCGGUGCGGAGUGACACAGUGCAUGUGGGAGUCUUCAAACAGCAUGAGUCUGGCGGUUGUCUGCGGGAGGGGAGUUAGAUUUGAAACUCUGUUGAGAAAACAGGGUUGGGGGAAGAGCUGCUCACGAAACAGCGGUUUCCGUGCAGGUCUUGGCAUCUACAGAGCCCGACCCUCUCCUUCAGCCAGUAUUUGCUUGUAAGGAAUUAUUGAGAUGUGAGGAAUUUCCACAGACCCGAACAGCCAGUGCACAGGAGCCUCGGUCAGGGAUCAAGACCUGUAUGUCCUAGAUGUUGGACAAAUAAAUGGACUUAAGCGCAUACUCAGUGUCUUUGAUCAGCUGGGCGUAAGGAGCAUGGCAGUGAUUAUGCGUCUGCUGGCAUCCAACAGGACUGGAAGGUGGAAUGGGAUUAAUCAUCUAGAUUUAUUAUGAAAGGAAUGGGAAGGUGUCGCCAUUGAGAACAAAAUCCUUUUCCAGAUGAGGAAUUACUUUCCCCUUUCUCCACUGCUGACAUCCUAUCAAAUUUGCUAGCAUUCUCUACAGUUGGCAGGACACUCUUCUAGCUGAAAUUAGAAGCUGACAAGGCUGAUGACUCACUUCCUCCACUGCCUAAGCCACACUUCAGUCUGCCUUCAAUAUAGCACCCGGCUAAGCAUUCUUUCAAUUCUAUUGUGCAUGACCUGUCUAGAGAACCCUACAGGAGAAUUUCCAGCAAAAGUCAGCAUGGGAGGGUCAAUCCCUUGAAAUUGCACCUUCCAACCUCAUUCGUGGCCAGUCUUCUGAACGACUUCCUUCAAGAUCAGCUGUAGGAACCUUCUGUAGAAGCAUACUUUCUUCUGCAAAUUGGACGUGUCCUCACCUUUGAAGACUUCUGUUCUCAACUGGUAUAAGAUGACCACUUUCCAGGACCAUCUAAAUAUCUCCUUGUUUGUGAAAAAGUUAAAGCAAUGGAUGGUAAGAAUACACUGUAACUUUUGCCAUUUGGUGAAAGAAAACCCCUUUCUUUUCCUGUCCUCCGCGAAUGGUUCUGCGCCAUAUGACAGAAUUGUUGUCAUGACUGCAUUGAACACGGGUAGCCUCGUUGUCACACAGACAUUCCACCUCCCACGCA